rnacentral:SRP_RNA from 1 species
GCCGGGCGCGUGCCUGUAGUCCCAGCUACUCGGGAGGCUGAGGUGGGAGGAUCGCUUGAGCCCAGGAGUUCUGGGCUGUAGUGCGCUAUGCCAAUCGUGUGUCCACACUAAGUUCAGCAUCAAUAUGGUGACCUCCUGGGAGCGGGGACCACCAGGUUGCCUAAGGAGGGGUGAACCGGCCCAGGUCGGAAAUGGAGCAGGUCAAAACUCCCGUGCUUAUCAGUAGUGGGAUUGCACCUGUGAAUAGCCACUGCACUCCAGCCUGAGCAACAUAGCGAGACCCUGCCUCU